rnacentral:rRNA from 1 species
CAGCAGCCGCGGUAAUACGGAGGGGGCUAGCGUUGUUCGGAAUUACUGGGCGUAAAGCGCACGUAGGCGGCUUGGUAAGUUAGAGGUGAAAGCCCGGAGCUCAACUCCGGAAUUGCCUUUAAGACUGCCGAGCUAGCAGGUGAGAGAGGUAAGUGGAAUUCCGAGUGUAGAGGUGAAAUUCGUAGAUAUUCGGAAGAACACCAGUGGCGAAGGCGGCUUACUGGCUCAUACUGGACGCUGAGGUGCGAAAGCGUGGGGAGCAAACAGGAUUAGAUACCCGCGUAGUCCCUGUCUCUUAUAC